CAGCAGCCGCGGUAAUACGAGGGGUGCAAGCGUUACUCGGAAUUACCGGGCGUAAAGGGUGCGUAGGUGGUCUUUUAAGUCCGUUGUGAAAUCCCUGGGCUCAACUUGGGAAUGGCAGUGGAUACUGGAAGGCUAGAGUGCGGUAGAGGGUAGUGGAAUUCCCGGUGUAGCAGUGAAAUGCGUAGAGAUCGGGAGGAACACCAGUGGCGAAGGCGGCUACCUGGACCAGCACUGACACUGAAGCACGAAAGCGUGGGGAGCAAACUGGAUUAGAUACCCGUGUAGUCCCUGUCUCUUAUAC
rnacentral:rRNA from 1 species